UACGUAGGGUGCAAGCGUUAAUCGGAAUUACUGGGCGUAAAGCGUGCGCAGGCGGUUAUGCAAGACAGAUGUGAAAUCCCCGGGCUCAACCUGGGAACUGCAUUUGUGACUGCAUGGCUAGAGUACGGUAGAGGGGGAUGGAAUUCCGCGUGUAGCAGUGAAAUGCGUAGAUAUGCGGAGGGACACCGAUGGCGAAGGCAAUCCCCUGGACCUGUACUGACGCUCAUGCACGAAAGCGUGGGGAGCAAACAGG
rnacentral:rRNA from 1 species